UAGGGAAUCUUCGGCAAUGGGGGGAACCCUGACCGAGCAACGCCGCGUGAGUGAAGAAGGUUUUCGGAUCGUAAAGCUCUGUUGUUAAGGAAGAACGAGUGUGAGAAUGGAAAGUUCAUGCUGUGACGGUACUUAACCAGAAAGGGACGGCUAACUACGUGCCAGCAGCCGCGGUAAUACGUAGGUCCCGAGCGUUGUCCGGAUUUAUUGGGCGUAAAGCGAGCGCAGGCGGUUAGAAAAGUCUGAAGUGAAAGGCAGUGGCUCAACCAUUGUAGGCUUUGGAAACUGUUUAACUUUAGUGCAGAAGGGGAGAGUGGAAUUCCAUGUGUAGCGGUGAAAUGCGUAGAUAUAUGGAGGAACACCGGUGGCGAAGGCGGCUCUCUAGUCUGUAACUGACGCUGAGGCUCGAAAGCGUGGGGAGCGAACAGG
rnacentral:rRNA from 1 species